AACUUCGUCCGCCCCUAGUUUUGCAGUUUUCAUUUCCAACGACAACAGAAAGUGGUCAAAUGCAUCCAGCUUACCCUGCUUUUGAAUUUUGUGGAGUCUUGAAAAGUAAUUUUCUAAAGAUGUAGAAGGCAACAAAAUGUUAUUUUCAUUGUUUGUAAGUGGAAGAGGGAGGAAAUUGAAAUUUCAGGAAAGGCUCUUGAUGUUGAAUCUUAAAUAGGACAAGAAACAGACAAGAUACUCUGUUAAUAGCACCAGACAUGUUCUAAAAGUGAAAAUUAAAUAGAAGAAAUCAAUAUAUGUAUUCUUUUAAAUAUUUAUAGUGAAAUUAAGAACCAAAACCUGUCUUAACCAAAUGCACCUUGAGAUGCUCCAAUCUCAUCCAUGUACUUGUAUUGUUUUGGAGAUGUAGAAUCUGCCUUCAUCCGCUGCAACAUCAAAGUCACAAGUUCCUUGGAGAUGAGUGGGUAUCAUCCUGAAAUGGUUCGAAGUAUCAGAGGCUUGUUGGAGGACCAAGAAUAGCCGGGAGCAUCAAGAAGGAAUGAUAUGCUCCAGCAAUUGAAAGCAAUCAUUACAAUUGGAAGAGCUUUACACAUUGUUCAGGGUUCUUCCAUGAUGCUCAUUGUCUCAUGCAUCAAUGGACUAGUGGUGGUCCUCCUUACUGUAUGCCAGCGAAGCUAGAUAAACCCAUAUUUAUCACCAAAUUUUCUGCACGUGCUGCAAAUUUUUGCUCUAUGUGAGGUACUUUAGAUCGGUAGUAAAGAGUAGCGUAAAUUCAUCACAUGGAACAACUUUUCAAUGCAAGAAUUCUGCCUCUGCCUCUGGUUCUCCCAUUUUUCUUUUCUUUCUUUUGUUCUCUUUGAAUGGAGCAAGAGUUCCAUCGGCAAGACAGUAUCUCAAACGAGAGUUAAUUUUUACACACAGAUUCGACUGCAAUUGGGGGCGUAAUAUUUUUACACUACACUUGCUCACUGAAAUGUGCUGUGAACGGGGGCUUUCACGGUCAGCGAAUGCGCUUAUCAUUUCCUUACAUGGCUGCAUGAUCUUGAUUAUAAUAACUAGGAAUCUACUCAGAGACUGCAACUUUUGUACAAAUGGGUCAGAGACAGAUUCCAACUGUGAGCAGUUGCUUUAUAAGGAGGAGAAAAUUGACAAACUUCAUAAUCUUAGUAGUUCAUUGGCCGCGCUGUGCUUCCAAUAUUGCACAGAUACUUUAAUUAAAAGCUGCAUCUUGAUAGGCAGCCACUUUCCCAGAUAAAAACGGAAGUUUAUAUUAUGUUCCUUUCAGGACCACUGGGUCAAAUAUUAGCACCGAAAAAUGAAAGGCCAUGUCCAUGUUCCUGAGUCACCUCAAAAAGUUAGUGACCAACUCACCUUUCAAGCCAUGGUUUCAGAAAUUGUUUUGGAGAUGUUGAAUGUGCCUUCAUCCUCUGCAACAUCAAAGUCACAAGUUCCUUGGACAUGAGUGUAUAUCAUCCCGGGACGGUUCGAAGUUUCAGAGGUUUGUCCGAGGACCAAGUAUAGCCGGGAGCAUCGAGAAGGAAUGAUAUGCUCCAGCAAUUGAAAGCAUCGCCAAUUUCAUUGACGAUUGCAUUGCAAUUGGAAGAGCUUUGACACAGUGUUCAGGGGGCUUCCGUGAUGCUCAUUGUUUAAUGCAUCAACAGAUUGGCAGCGAUUCUCUUUACUGUAUGCUAGCAAGCUAGAUGAUACUCAAUUUAUCACCUAAUUUUUCCACACUUUUUGCAAAUCUUUUAUAAACGUGAGGUACUUUGGACCGGUACUGGAGA